GACGAACGCUGGCGGCGUGCCUAAUACAUGCAAGUAGAACGCUGAAGGAGGAGCUUGCUUCUCUGGAUGAGUUGCGAACGGGUGAGUAACGCGUAGGUAACCUGCCUGGUAGCGGGGGAUAACUAUUGGAAACGAUAGCUAAUACCGCAUAAGAGUAGAUGUUGCAUGACAUUUGCUUAAAAGGUGCAAUUGCAUCACUACCAGAUGGACCUGCGUUGUAUUAGCUAGUUGGUGGGGUAACGGCUUACCAAGGCGACGAUACAUAGCCGACCUGAGAGGGGGGUCGGCCACACUGGGACUGGGACCCGGCCCAGACUCCUACGGGAGGCAGCAGUAGGGAAUCUUCGGCAAUGGACGGAAGUCUGACCGAGCAACGCCGCGUGAGUGAAGAAGGUUUUCGGAUCGUAAAGCUCGGUUGUAAGAGAAGAACGAGUGUGAGAGUGGAAAGUUCACACUGUGACGGUAUCUUACCAGAAAGGGACGGCUAACUACGUG
rnacentral:rRNA from 1 species